AAAAAAUAUUAUUUGAGGAUGGAGGAUGAUUUCUUUGACUUAUGUGAAACAUUUAAAAUUUAAUUACGAUGCCAAAUUAAUUCUAGAGGGAAAGAUAAAUAGAUAAUACGAGAAUAUUAUAUUACAUGUAAGUAUAGAAGGAUAUAUUGAUAGGUGUGUAUUGUUUGCUCCGAGACAUGGAUCACACGUGAUAGGGAGGCUGCAUCUGGACACUCGCAGUUUGGAUUCUAUAUCUGACAUGUCGAUAUUAUCCACCCUCGUGCCCUUCGCCCCUUUUCUACGACCGUGAGUAAUGUUUAAGGUUCGAUAAAUUACGAACUCGCUCGUAUUACUACAAAUAGAAUUCGGAUGAUUUCAUAAUUUCAGAAUUUUGAGUCUGGUCUCUGGUCUCUGUCCCGUCUGUUUCGAAAUUCUGAUUGAACCAAUCUGCUACUCGUAUGUCAUUGGUAUGCACACAGCUGUAUUACUGGUAGAGCAGUAACCAACUAACGUUACAAUCAUUUAUCAUUCAGUCUGGAAGAUUCAGAACCCUAAAUUAUAUGAAAAAACUGUGGAUGAUCGACUAACAGGUAGAGCCUGUAGAAUUGUUGCCCAAACCACAUGUAUUCUAAACAAACAUGCACAAACAAACGCAUGCAUGUAUACACUACACGGGUUGUUUGUUUCGAAGAAGUGGAAGCUAAUCCUGAAUUCUAGAAACUUUUUUAAAAAAUUGAGAAUGUUAGUCUUUUUAUCAUGGUUUCUAUUUUUUUUAAACAUUUUAUUAACUUAUUUGGUUAUUACUCCUAAUCAACCUUUUUAUUAAAAGUCAAUUUUUAUAAACUUGCCCAAACGGCCCCAUAAUAUAGAGAUCAUUUGAGUUGAUGACAGGGGCGGAUCUAGGAUUCAAACUGUAAGGGGGCACUAAGCAAAUUUUCGGAAAAUACCUAUAUAUUUUUAAAUUUUGUGAGGGCACUUCUAUAAUUUUGUAAAAUUUAGAAUGGUGAAAAAAUGUAAAAAAAAAAUUUAGAAGGGACACAUGUCCCCCGUGCCUCUUCCUAGAUCCGCCCUGAUCGAUGAUACUCAGACACCCAAAUAAAUACUGAAAUUCAUAGUUUUUGCAAUAUUUUAUAUAAAAAAAAUCCUGCUGCACCAUAUGAUAAACUGGCUUAUCAGUCAUUCUGGAGACAAGGAAUUGAGAAAUUUAAAUAGAAUAUCUUGCGCCAUCAUAACCGGAUUAUCUUUAUAUAAAAUGGGCCAUGCAUGAUUUAUAAUUUCUCGAAAUUAGUGUAGUCUUUUUCUUUAAGUGACCAAGUAUGUCCAUCCUCCAUAUGGUCCAAAUGAUCACGACACAUUGGAGUCGCGGAAAUGACUGCAUCUGUCCUGGUUUUAUUCAUGUUUACCGCCCAUCCCACAAGGUUUUAUUUUUAUAUAUGUUAGUUUUGUUUACAUCUGUUAAAAAUGGAUCAUCCCAUUUUUCAUUUCGUUUUAUAUGAAAAUUGGAUUUCUAAUCGUUGGAUAAAAUUAGUAGGACAUAAGUGGAACCAAUGGAGCAUAUAUUAUUUAUUUUUGACAUUAUAAAAUUCAAUUAUAAAAAAUAAUCAGUAUAUCUAUCGAUUUAUAAUAUACAUAUAAAAAUUCAAGUCAACAAUAUAUCAAAAUAUAAUAUAAGAAUUAUUUGAAAUCUUUCUCUAACAUUUUAAAAUUUUAAAAUUAUGGAAGAUUAAUUAUUAAUAACAUAGUAUCAGAGUCAGAUUUAGUGGAGGUUUCUCGUUCGACUCCCCGUCACUUUCAAUAUUUUUAUGAUAUAAUAUUGAACACGAAGAUAUUCAUUGUUCUAAAAGAUGAAUCUCCGUGAUCCACCUCAUCGAUUAAAAGAAGUGAUUAGUUGAUGUGAAGAAAUACAAUAUAAAUUUAUUUAGAUUUUGUUCUAAUACAUUAAAAUUUUAGUUGAUCUGGGACACUAGUAAGCGAGAUUUUAGACUGGAAACGAAAUGACAGAGCUGGAGGUACUAAUUAUGUUAUUUUUUUAUCCACUGCACACUACUCCAGAUUCAUAACUAUGAUGACAUUUUUUUUUUACAGAUCGAAUAACUAUGAUGACAUUGAUCAACUAGAAAUAUUAUUUUUACGAGCAGUGGAAGCUCGAAUCCCAUUUGGUCAUGUGGGUGGGCUGCAUAAUUUCAAACUUGCAGUAUUCAAUUUAAUCACUACAUUUGGGCCAGCUUUAAUGGGUUAUGAUCCGUAACGCAUUCGGGGAUUUGGCCCAGCUAAGUCAUUAGUCAACAGAAAAUACAAGGAAAAUUGCUGAUCACAUAUGCCCAGUAAUGUAAUGCCACGUUGGAGUGCAAACAAAAGUGAAAAGUGAAAGCUCAGUAUCUCAAUUUCAUGGUCAAAACUGAGACUUGCUGGUAAAGAAAAGAAAGAGAAGCACGGGUUAAAAAUUAAAAUAAUCUUUACUCGGAAGUCGGAAGUAUCUGAGAAUGUUGAAUAUUCAACUCAGCAGUCUUUGAGCUUGAUCACCAAGAAAUAAAAAGCUUAUAUAGAGCUCUGUAUACUUGCUUACUAAAAACUCAACAUACAUAACUCAAGCAAAACACACACAAAUAUCUCGGACGGUCAGACAGCAUAUAUCUGAGUCGGUUCUUUUAAAAUCUCGAGGUGUCAAAUAAGAAUUCAAGUGAAAUCAUAUUUUAUAUUCUAACGCGGAGCAGUAAUCGAUGGAGAUGAAAGGUAACAAACAUAACAAAGCGAGUUGGUACACGGCGAUAAUGUCACGUUUCUUCGGAAGUUGCAAAUACAAAAAUGCCAAUAAAUCAAGAAAAACACCAGCAUCGGUUUCCACCGGACCAGAGGCUACUAUGGUUGCCGCUGCUAAACAUUUCUCCUCUGCCCAUAAAGUUCGUCUCGUUUAGUCCCUUUCUGUGUUAAGCUCGACAGAGCCCUUCCAUUUGUACGAAGUCGUGCCUUAAGGAUCAAGUCCCAGCUUGCUAUCCUAGUAUCCUUAGAUGACGAGUUCAAACUUCCUCGGACAAAUUUGGUGUAAUAUUUAUUCAUUCCGUGUCUCUUAUGUUUCUUACGGUUUUUGUAUUGCUUGACACGUGUUUUAAAGUGCGUGAAAUAUAAUUUCAUAUCUUAUUUUUUAAAUAUUAUCUUUUUAUAUAAAUAUUUAAAUACUACAUUUUUAUUUAGAAUAAAAUUUAAAAUAAUUUAUGAAAUUAUAUUUUAAAGAAGUGUUAAAAUGCUCUGUC
rnacentral:lncRNA from 1 species